rnacentral:piRNA from 1 species
UACUUGUCGACUAUGGUUGUGACCAGAUG